rnacentral:rRNA from 1 species
GAUGAACGCUAGCGGCAGGCUUAAUACAUGCAAGUCGAACGGUAAGUUUGGUAGCAAUAUCAAACCAAGAGUGACGUACGGGUGCGUAACACGUAUGCAACCUACCUUGUACAGGAGUAUAGCUCGGGGAAACUCGAAUUAACCCUCCAUGAGAUCAUAGAAUGGCAUCAUUUAGUGAUUAAAACUCAGGUGGUACAAGAUGGGCAUGCGUCUGAUAGUUAGUUGGCGGGGUAAUGGCCCACCAAGACGAUGAUCAGUAGGGGACCUGAGAGGGUGAUCCCCCACACUGGCACUGAGAUACGGGCCAGACUCCUACGGGAGGCAGCAGUAGGGAAUAUUGGUCAAUGGGUGAGAGCCUGAACCAGCCAUGCCGCGUGCAGGAAGAAGGCGUUAUGCGUUGUAAACUGCUUUUGCCGAGGGGAAUAAAAAUCUGUGCGCA